AACGUAGAGUGCAAGCGUUAAUCGGAAUUACUGGGCGUAAAGCGUGCGCAGGCGGUAAUGUAAGACAGUUGUGAAAUCCCCGGGCUCAACCUGGGAACUGCAUCUGUGACUGCAUUGCUGGAGUACGGCAGAGGGGGAUGGAAUUCCGCGUGUAGUAGUGAAAUGCGUAGAUAUGCGGAGGAACACCGAUGGCGAAGGCAAUCCCCUGGGCCUGUACUGACGCUCAUGCACGAAAGCGUGGGGAGCAAACAGG
rnacentral:rRNA from 1 species